UACGGAAGGUCCGGGCGUUAUCCGGAUUUAUUGGGUUUAAAGGGAGCGCAGGCUGUUGCUUAAGCGUGACGUGAAAUGGUUCGGCUCAACCGGAGCAGUGCGUCGCGAACUGGGCGACUUGAGUGCAUUCGAGGAAGGCGGAAUUUGUGGUGUAGCGGUGAAAUGCUUAGAUAUCACGAAGAACUCCGAUUGCGAAGGCAGCCUUCCAGGUUGUAACUGACGCUAAAGCUCGAAAGUGCGGGUAUCGAAC
rnacentral:rRNA from 1 species